rnacentral:rRNA from 1 species
UACGAAGGGGGCUAGCGUUGCUCGGAAUUACUGGGCGUAAAGGGCGCGUAGGCGGACAGUUUAGUCAGAGGUGAAAGCCCAGGGCUCAACCUUGGAAUUGCCUUUGAUACUGGCUGUCUUGAGUUCGGGAGAGGUGAGUGGAAUGCCGAGUGUAGAGGUGAAAUUCGUAGAUAUUCGGCGGAACACCAGUGGCGAAGGCGGGUUACUGGGCUGAUACUGACGCUGAUGCGCGAAAGCGUGGGGAGCGAACAGG